GACGUAGGGGGCCAGCGUUGUUCGGAAUUACUGGGUGUAAAGGGUUCGUAGGCGGUGUGGCAAGUUGGGAGUGAAAUCUUUGGGCUCAACCCAGAGGCUGCUUCCAAAACUGCCAUGCUUGAGUGUGGGAGAGGCGCGUGGAAUUGCAGGUGUAGCGGUGAAAUGCGUAGAUAUCUGCAGGAACACCCGUGGCGAAGGCGGCGCGCUGGCCCACACCUGACGCUGAGGCACGAAAGCUUGGGGAGCAAACAGG
rnacentral:rRNA from 1 species